rnacentral:rRNA from 1 species
UACGGAGGGGGCUAGCGUUGUUCGGAAUUACUGGGCGUAAAGCGCGUGUAGGCGGCAUGGCAAGUCGGGUGUGAAAGCCCUCAGCUUAACUGAGGAAGUGCGCCCGAAACUGCCGUGCUUGAGUGCCGGAGAGGGUGGCGGAAUUCCCCAAGUAGAGGUGAAAUUCGUAGAUAUGGGGAGGAACACCGGUGGCGAAGGCGGCCACCUGGACGGUAACUGACGCUGAGACGCGAAAGCGUGGGGAGCAAACAGG